rnacentral:tRNA from 1 species
AGGGAUUUAGCUCAGUGGCACAGUGCCUGCCUGGCAAGUAUAAGGUCUUAAGUUCAAUCCUCAAAACCCCCU